rnacentral:rRNA from 1 species
GACGAACGCUGGCGGCGUGCCUAAUACAUGCAAGUCGAGCGGACCGAACAGGAGCUUGCUCUUGUUCGGUUAUCGGCGGACGGGUGAGUAACACGUGGGUAACCUGCCCGCAAGACAGGGGUAACUCCGGGAAACCGGAGCUACUACCGGAUAAUACCGAAGACCGCAUGGUCUUUGGUUGAAAGGCGGCUUCGGCUGCCACUUACGGAUGGGCCCGCGGCGAAUUAGCUAUUUGGUGAGGUAACGGCUCACCAAGGCGACGAUGCGUAGCCGGCCAGAUAGGCUGACCGCCCUCACUGGUAUGGGAACACGGCCCGGACUCCUGGGGCAGACAGCCGUAGGAGAUCUUCCGCGAUGGACGCAGGUGUGACUGAUCGACGCCGCGUGAGCGCAGAAGCUCUUCGGAUCGUGAAAGUGUGGAAUUAGGGAAGGAGGAACGUCGUUCGUACAGGGCGGCGCGAUGACGGUACCUAACGAGAAAGCCCCGGCUAACUACGUG